UUACAUGUGUUUUCUGGAUGAGCCUUU
rnacentral:piRNA from 1 species